AGCAGCACUACGCAUUCGUGGGAUUUGGAGCCGGCACGCUUGCCGACAUGCAGCUGACAUCACUCUUGUUUGUGCAGAAUUCUCCAGAAUGAAUGUGCGGUUGAAGGAAUGGAAAAAGGCAAUAUCUUCUGCAGCCCUUGUGGGAGCACAACUCAGUGCCUGUCUCUAAGGACGACAACAAUGACUGCAUCUACGCUGCUACCCUCUGCACCGCUACCGCAGCAAGCCCAGUACGUGACGAGAAAGGAAGAGCGUCUCCAUGCGGAGCGAAGCAGAUCGGAAUUUGAGAGAGAACCAACACUCCAUGGCAGCUUAUUCUUUUUUUUUUUCUUGCUCUCUUGGGUCUACAUGGCAGGGACGGGAAAGGGUUCCCGGAAGCAUGACACCGGCCUGUGAGAGAGAGCCAACACUCCGCGACAGCUUUGUUUUUUUUUCUUUUUUCCUCUCUCUUUUUGCGUGGGGUGUUAAGAGGAAAAGGGUCUUUACAUGGCAGCAUGGAGGAAGGAAUUCCUUCCUCCAUGCAGGGUAGGGACGAAAAAGAGAGAAGCCUGGCACAGGCGCGUCAUAGGUUGGCAUUUGAGAGAGAGCAAACAUUCCACGGCAGCAUUGUCUUUCCUUUCUUAUUCUUUCGUGUGCAGCAUUGAGGUGUCGCAGGUGCUGCCACGGGAUUGGGCGUGGUGCUGAGAGCAUUUUCGGAGCGUGGUAUGUUGGAAUUUACCGUCGCAAGUGCUUGCGUGUUUGAAUUACAGGGCAUUUUUGCCCAUUGGAAUACACAUAGCUUUGACGGGAUCUCAGUGUGAGAUCGAAUUAACUGGAAGUUCGAAUUAAGCGUGUUUGAAUUAAUGAGAUUCGACUGUAUAUAAAAAAUUCAAACUUUACGCUGCUGAAGCCACAGCAAGCAGAUUAGCAUUAAAAAGCUAGUCAAGAUCGAAGUGCUGCAUCCUAAUUUAGAUUAAGGUGUCAUCGUUGAAGUACAUUUGAAAGGAAAGAAGUCAUUUUACAGAAUUUACUACGCCAGAAGAAGCUCACGCUUUGUUUGAACAUGUCGCCAAGCUUAAGCUGUGCCCUGGUUUAGCAAUAAAACUUGUGGCCAAAAAAUCUGCAUCAUUCAAUGGGACAUUUUUUUUAUGAAAAGUGCUCUUGUAUGUCAACAGAUUCAAUUUACUUAUGGCGUUAAAUAAAAGAGACAAUAGAGUGCCUUGGCACACAGUUGACUAAGUGGGAUCUUUAAUUGCACACUUGAGAGAUCUGAAUAUUAGGCUGGUGUGAAUGUUCGAAUGCCUUAAAUAUUCAAACUGAGUUCGAUUCGAAUUUUAAUUGCUGAGAAUUUUGAAGCAUAAUCAAAAUGAAUGACAUUAAUCCGCAUGUAGCCCCCUAGAAAGAUGGUUUCACUGCAGCAAGAGAAGUGCUCAGCCGUGAAAGCACCUAUCCAUGAAAAAUCCGCACUCUGUAAAGCCCCACUUCAAGGUUAAAUGAACAUAUAACCCUCACAGCGAUUCAUUAUCUUUUAAGCUUAUAAGCUUGUUAUACAGUUUUAUAUGCUGUAAAUAUAGUACAUUUUAAAACAUAACAUAUGUUGCAGGUUAUCAUUCGCAUUCUACCGAAGUCAAAUUCUGCUACUGUUCAAGGUUGCUUUCACUUCCUUUCAACUAAUUAGAUCGGAAUUCGCUCAGGCCUAGUUACAAUAAAAAAA
rnacentral:misc_RNA from 1 species